rnacentral:rRNA from 1 species
CCCUUAGAUGUUCUGGGCCGCACGCGCGCUACACUGAUGCAUUCAACGAGCCUAUCCUUGACCGACAGGUCCGGGUAAUCUUUGAAUCUGCAUCGUGACGGGGAUAGAUUAUUGCAAUUAUAAAUCUUCAACGAGGAAUGCCUAGUAGGCGCAAGUCAUCAGCUUGCGUCGAUUACGUCCCUGCCCUUUGUACACACCGCCCGUCGCUCCUACCGAUUGGGUGUGCUGGUGAAAUGUUCGGAUCGGCCGUUUGUCGCGGUUUCCGCGGCUCGUGGCUGAGAAGUUCAUUAAACCCUCCCACCUAGAGGAAGGAGAAGUCGUAACA